ensembl:lncRNA
GCUAUAGGUAAACCUAUCCCUGCCCCGAGCCACUUUAAUUUAUAUCUACACUGUUAAAAACAAACCCAAAGCAAGCUUAUUUGUAAAGGGCAUUGUUUCAUUUAUUCAUAGAGGUCAAGUAAAAUGUACAACCAUGUAAAAAAAGAGGAUACAAGUUGAACUAGUAAAACUAUAGCCUAACUUUACAUUUAAACUAUGUACACCAUGUACUCUAUAUACCGCAAUAACACUUUUUUUUUUAAAAUGAUCUAAGAAAAAAAGUGUUAUAACUGUGGAGACUGGCCAGAUGUCAUACUCUUGCUUCUGUCUUCUUACUGGUGCUUUUCUUUUCAGACCUUAUCUGUGCUACAAGGCUGAAGAUUUUUUUAACAUCUGUUCUUGUUCCUGUGUCCUGUAGCCGGUAAUCUUUUUCAGAUAUUUACUGCAAUACUAGAUUUCCCCUGUGUAAACACGUAAGGCUCUUCUGCCUGAAAAAAUAUCGUCCUUUCUUCCGCCAUGUCAAGCUAACCUUUGAAAAAAUAAAAUGUCAAGAUGUUCUUAUUAUUGUGACAUUUUAAACCCCAUCACCUCAUGGAAAAAAGGAAAAAAAACGUUAGAGGUGUUCAAUGGAAAUAACUGAAACUGAAAAUAAUUAGUCAAAAAUGUUUAAAUAAAAGCACAAAUGCUAUCAGAGGAAUUGCAGUGAUAUCUAUAAAUGAACACAGGCCAUUUUUAUACAUACAUAGAGUACAUAUACAUUAAACACAUAUUAGUGCAUUUACUCAAGAAAAAAAAUAUUAUAAUGCUUGUAUUUUACUUAAGUGUUUCCAUUUUAUGCUGCAUUACACUUCUACACCACUCUAAUUUAGUGUUUGUGAGUUGUGUUGUAGCUCUACAACAAAAAAGGAUUUUACACUGUUUCCUUCAAACUCUUGAUGCUUUAGUGAUGUAACACUUGCUUGAAGUAAUUCAAAUAUGUGUAGCAAUUCUUGUUUCUUCCUUUAUUUACCCCCCUUUUCAAGUAUCUAACAAACCCUUGGCCUUAACUAUGACCCUGACCUUUUGACUAUCCUCAGAUUUUUAAAGAGAAAUUUGAUUAACGUCUUAACGUUUGGCUGCAGUAAUCACUAUUAUGAUAAGAAAAUGCACAGACUCAAGCAUGAAGCCCACUGUCUAGAUAAAAAUUCACUGCAAAUGUUUUUGCUGUGGUGCAUAAAAUGUAGUCAUAGUACAGAUACGAUGUUUUCUAUGUUCUGUGACAAGAAUCGCACAGUUUGCUCAGUUUGACCUUAAGAAGAUAAAGCAGUGCAAAAACAGCUGCCUGCCAUUUAGUAGUUACAUAGGAACACAAGUAAAUCAACAGACAGGGCUAUUGCUCAACACAUGUGACCUCUUAGAAGCGCGCAGGUGGGUGGGUAGAUAAUGUAUGUACACUUCCCGUAUAGAGGCGCAUUCAAGACGAAGUGUGGAAAAGGGGGAAGAAUUGUGUAACAGAAGUCUUCAUGCAUCUCUGACCAUGAGGCUUACCUCAGGUCACAAAGGGGCACAGUCAGAGAAAAAUUAGCAGCUCAGUCUUUAUUUAUUGCACGAUGGAUGGAUGAAUAGGGAACUCUGUUUUGCUUGUUCUCCAACGUUAUGUGUAACCAUAUGUGUAAUCUUUAAUUAGACACAUAUUGGAGACAUUAAUGUUUCAUUUAAACUUGUUGCGAAACACCCUGAUUUGUAUCCCAUUCUGACACAGUUUGUGAUAACGGUGUUGUGAUUUAACCGUCUAACAUGUCUGGUUAAAGCCAAUCGGAUUCAAAUUAGUUUUUGAGCAAUUAGUCAUUUCAACCUCAUGCUUUUGGUUAAUGAUUGCCUGACGUGACAGGUUAAAUUGCUGUGUACUAAACUUCUUAGUAAUCGACACCCUAUGUAAUAAUUAAGAAUAAUAACCCUUAUUACCACAGGUUUGUUGAGCGGGGGUAUCACUACUUUAAACUUUUUUUUUACUGAACUGGGCUCUAAGGAGGUCAGGAGGGAAACUAUUUAGUGGAUGGCAAAUGGUUUACAAUAACUUCAUGUACAGCAGAGGGGUUUGUGGGACUCCAAAUUAUGAUGACAUUGUGUCAGUGACAACAAUCUGAUCAUAAAUGUUCAAUGAACGUGAGAAAAUGCAGAAAAGACCACAGAGCAUUGUCAUUGGAUUAUUGGAUGCCCUGUGCAUAAACAGAUAUACUCAGCAGCCAUUUUAUUAGGUACACAUAGCUUAAAAGUACACUCUGUCCUCACAGUCCUACGAUGAAACAUCCUUUCAUAAAGCAAAUAAGGGAAGUUUUGACUCUGUGUUAUGAUUCAUUUGAAUGUCGCAGCUGGUUUUAUUACACUGACAGGUGUUUCUACCACUUUGUUCAUUGAUAUAAACUCAAUGAAAUGCAGAAACCUAUUUGGGAUUUUUAAUAUAUAAAAAAAUGAAAUCAAAUAAAAUAAAAUCUCCUUUACAGUUGCAUUCUGUUUUUGGGAUUUAAAUCAGAUAUUUCCUGUGGCAGUUUACUUAGAACACAUCCAAAUACUGUGUGAAAGCCCUGAUUUAAAAAAAGUCUUCAGCUGAUUUGAAAUGAUUUCAAAAAAGUUUCAUUCUCUCCGAGACUCAAAACAAACCAUUAAGCUCCUGUUUUUCUUUUAACUCAAAAACAAAAAGAAGUUAAAAUCUUUCCUCAUCAGUUAUACAAAUUGAUAAAUGUCAGACAUAACACAAAACACACCAAAACUGAACUAUGCUGACAAUAAAACACAACCUUUUAAGGUUUGUGUUGACAUGAUGAAAAUAGGACUGCUGUUAUUCACUGCCCCAUUUCUCAGUCGUUUAUUCAGGGCCCUUGGCAGACACAACAGUAAAGAAAAGUUCAGGGAUAAAAGGGAUCACUCGGGAGAUUACUCCCCUGUACGUAUCACGGAUGCCUAGAACACAAACAAAGAGCAUUAUGUUGCUCAGCCUGUAGCUGCAGAGCGCAUGUUUGUGUGAGAGCAAGUGCUUCUUUAACCUCACCCUCCCAUUUGCCUUUUGCUUUACCAAAUGAAGCAUUAAGCUGCCUUUGUUUUUCCGUGUAUGUAUUCCCCUGCUACCAUAGGGUUCUCCUUGUAGCUAUUUAAAUGAAUCAUCUCUUUUUUCAAGCAUCCACUCAGCACAGUGUUUUUCAAUCAGAUUAGUACAGCACAUUCUGUUCUGUUUCACUUCCUGAUGACUGUGCAGCCCGUAUCCCUGAAUGAACUCACCCGCGUGCUUCUGGUUACACCAAGAUACUCAUUCAGACAGAUGGAUUCUUGCAACUGCCAGUCAGAUUUUUGUACUUUACACAGUAUUUAGCAAAAUCUGUUAGACACCUAUCAGAUUUGCUGUUUACUGUUUUGUUUUAGCAAAGAUUAAACGACUUUCCGAUGCAAAGUGAUAGAACAGAAACAAGAUGUUCUUGAUGUUUCAGGAAGGAAAACAACAUCUCAAGCCAUGUGUCACUAUACAUAUCUAUUCAUGCAUCUCAGUUCAGCCCAAGCCUGUUUAGUUCAUUUUGACCUCCAGUUAAGCAUUGCAGUGUAGGGGAAAAGAAGACAGACAAAGCAACCAGGACGCCACAGUUCACGAAUUUUGGUAAAACAAACAAACCAACCUUUGCCCGUGCAGGAGUUGACCGUCCUGACAUGGUGUUUUAUUUUAGAUAAUCAGUACUAUUAUUUUAAGGGUUUCAUGUGGGCAGUGACACAUAGUGAGGUUGUGUUUUUACAUCUUUCUGUUUCUGUGCUGUUUUUUUUCUUUAAAUGUGAAUAACAUGUUCUAAAACACAUGUGUGUGAAAGCUACUUUCUUCCGAUAACCAGAUGCUCAGAAGAUUACUCACCCCAGCUGACAAUAUCCCUGUUGCGUUUGCAGAGUCAGGUUCACUUGUGUUAUGUC